rnacentral:tRNA from 1 species
UGGGAGAUCGUCUAAUGGUAGGACGCACGGCUCUGAACCGUGUAAUCUAGGUCCGAAUCCUAGUCUCCCAG